UGGCAACCCUACCCGGGAGGGGAGCAGAAGCCAAUACGUGCUAAACUUGUGGCAUGGAAGGCCACAUCCGGAAGGACUGUCAGUAAUGGAGUGCUCGUGGGCAGACGCUUGGGAAGCAGCUCAGGGUUUAACUUUCACCCCAGUGAGCAACACUAAAGAACUUGGAAGGAUGGAAUGGAGAUCCCCCUUCCCUCUACAGAUUGCUCUGGACUGCAACUCUCACCAUAAUUGAUGAUCCUCACUUACUACAACUAGCAGCUGACCAUCACUGGCUGAGAAGAUAGUCAAUGUAGUCCCACAUAUCUCAAGGGUCUUUAAGAAAC